UGGCUCAGGACGAACGCUGGCGGCGUGCUUAACACAUGCAAGUCGAACGGUGAACUCCGCUUGCGGGGGGAUCAGUGGCGAACGGGUGAGUAACACGUGGGCAACCUGCCCUCAGCUCUGGGAUAACUCCAAGAAAUUGGGGCUAAUACCGGAUAUGACUGCUGACCGCAUGGUCUGGUGGUGGAAAGAUUUAUCGGCUGGGGAUGGGCCCGCGGCCUAUCAGCUUGUUGGUGGGGUAGUGGCCUACCAAGGCGACGACGGGUAGCCGGCCUGAGAGGGUGACCGGCCACACUGGGACUGAGACACGGCCCAGACUCCUACGGGAGGCAGCAGUGGGGAAUAUUGCGCAAUGGGCGAAAGCCUGACGCAGCGACGCCGCGUGGGGGAUGACGGCCUUCGGGUUGUAAACCUCUUUCAGCAGGUGACGAAGCGAAAGUGAC
rnacentral:rRNA from 1 species